ACGCCCCACACACAUUCAAUCACAGCCUCAAGUUCAAAAGUGAAUUAAAACUCAAAGAAGCCUGGGGACAGGGACAAGAGUACUUCUGUCAUUCAUUCUCUUCCCCUGCUUCCUUGGGGACAAGGGUGGCCUGGAGGAACAAUAGUGUCCCCUGGCCCCUUCUUCCUGCAUUGGGUUAGAAAAGGCAGCAGAAAGCAGUGGGGAUGACAAAGACACACACACACACACACACACACACACACACACACACACACACACACACCCCAGGCUUGAGAAGGGAGGAGGAGGAGGCGUCUCUGGCUGGACGGACAGACUGUUAUUUUGGUGGUGGGCAUGGUCCCAGAUAGGGGCAGCGUUCCCCUUUUUCCUGGCUUUUCAGGGAGAGCAGCAAGAGAAAGAAAGAAGCAAACGAAAUUCCUGAAUGGAUAAGAGAUGCUACGUCAGCGGUACUGGAGCCGCAUCCUCCACUCCACGAGAAGAGAAGAGAAGAGCUAGGAGAGACCAGCGGGCGGUAGCUGCGGCGAGUGGCCUCUCCGUGCGGCACAGAGGCAAGAAGCAGCCAUCCAUCCAGAAGCAGCCUCCGUGUUCCGUUUGUCCGGAUGUCAUCGUAGGUGGCCGGCAUCUCUGGCUUUGGGGUAUUUAUUUCCUUCCUUGCUUUGAUGGUGGUGUGGGUGGGGGAGGGGAAAAGGGAAGCUAGUCCUGUUCCACCCCAGCUCUCCACCCCACUCGCUGUCUCUUCUAGGCUUUGAUUUUGGUCCAUUUUGUAGUAAGAACUGCAUUGUCAAAGCUAAGAAGCAAUGCAAACAACAUAGCCUGGGGACAAAAGGCCACCCUGUGUCUGGUUCGGUGCAGAGAGGAAAGCGCCCUCCCUCUUCUUCCACAGCUCCCUGGGGACGAGAUGGGGGUCUUUGACUCUGGGGAAGUGGUUGAGAAAGGUUUGAGAAAGGGACAGAGAUAGCUAAGGGGUUGUCAGGUGAGCCAGGAGAGCAGUAUAGAUUGGGAUGGAUGGGGUGGGGGGAGCUGGGUCUUUAAGUCGCUGAGUGGGUACGUGAGCACCUUUAGCAUUGGGAGAUAAUGCUACUUGCCUUGUCCAUGAAUUUACCACUGAAUGUGUCUGAGUUUAUGGGUGUGAGAGUGCAUGCCUGUGAUUGAGUAUGGGUGUGCUUUACACACUCGCACUUUUGACCAGAGAAGAGCUUAUGGGAAACAUGGAUGACUAAGCUGACCCCUGGCCAUCUUGGUCACCAUGUCUCAUUUCCCUACAAUGUAGGACUGGGGCAAUAGGCAUGUGAGUCCAUGGGGAGCAGACCAGGAGGAGCUGGGAAGGCUGAAAAUGCUCCCACUCCCAGGAAGGGUGUGUCUCAGGGGCCACCUCCUCUAAAUGGAGUCUCCAGGCAUCCUAACCUCAUCAGUGCAUUGCUAACUGCUGUUACUUUUAUUUGUCCCAAUGCUAUACACAUUGCAGGCAUUCAGUAACAGAAUACUGUUUAAUAGUAGCCACAGUAAUUAGUAGCACAGUAAUUCUGUUGCAGAGAUAAGCACACCCCCAGAUAAAGCUCUGAGUGUAUCUUUAAGGCAAAUCCACCUUGCAAACAAGGGGAAACUAUGUUUUUAUUAUACUCUCUAAGCAUUAAUCCCUUAUGGACUACUUUACUAUUUCAGGAAAGUGCUUUACUGCCAAAGUUUACAUAGAGUCUCAAAAGGUCCCGUCCAGACAGCAUAACUGAGCCUGUGCUUCUGUCUCUGUAGGCCUUUCAGACUCAGAGACAAUAGGUGGGCAGCUGUAUUGAGAGGGGACAUUGGCUUUGGUUGUAGCUGUGCCUCAAGGCUUAGGUGCUUGCCUAGUAUGUAUUGAGCCCUGGGUUUGAUCCCAGGAACCCCCAAAGGAUGAAGGCUCCUGGAACACCCACAGACCCCUAUUAGCACAAAGAGUUGAAAUGUCCUCCCAAGAAGUAGUCACAGUGAGAGCCACAGGCCACCAGAGAGUAGACUGCUUUGUGCUGGAGGAGACAGAAAGGGCUCUGCUCCUUAGGAGACUGAGGCUGGUGAGCCAAUCCAGCCCUCUGGGCGCUUGUGCCCAGCCCUGAGUCCUGCAGACUUGCUGCAUCCAUUGCUGUUCUCUGUUGUCUCCUCUGACACAAAUACAUUUCUCAAAGAUUCUGCAUGGACCUUCCCUACUGUUUUGGUUUGUGAAGGAAGAAUACAAUACGUCAG
ensembl:lincRNA Gm3764 predicted gene 3764